rnacentral:rRNA from 1 species
CCUACGGGGCGCAGCAGUCGGGAAUAUUGCGCAAUGGAGGAAACUCAGACGCAGUGACGCCGCGUGCAGGAAGAAGGUUUUCGGAUUGUAAACUGCUUUAGACAGGGAAGAUAAUGACAGUACCUGUAGAAUAAGCACCGGCUAACUACGUGCCAGCAGCCGCGGUAAUACGGAGGGAGCAAGCGUUAUCCGGAUUUAUUGGGUGUAAAGGGUGCGUAGACGGGAAGGCAAGUUAGUUGUGAAAUCCCGCGGCUUAACUGAGGAACUGCAACUAAAACUACAUUUCUUGAGUGCUGGAGAGGAAA